rnacentral:rRNA from 1 species
CGUGUAGGCGGGAGGGAAAGUCAGAUGUGAAAUCCCCAGGCUCAACCUGGGAACUGCAUUUGAAACUCCCCUUCUUGAGUACCGGAGAGGAAAGUGGAAUUCCUGGUGUAGAGGUGAAAUUCGUAGAUAUCAGGAGGAACACCAGUGGCGAAGGCGGCUUUCUGGACGGUAACUGACGCUGAGACGCGAAAGCGUGGGGAGGCAAAACA